UGAACUCCUUACCCCAGCUGCCUGGCUGCCCUCAGCUUCCCAAAGCUCAAAUAAGAGGGGCCGGCGGCGCGGGGAAGAGGAGGAGCCAGGAGGCUCGGCCGCUCCAUUCACUCAGCAGCCCAAGCCCGGCCAGGCAGCGCGCGCUGCUCCUUGGGGGCGCCCUCGCAGCUGGGGUGAGGGCGGGUCCGAGGGAGCGUCCCUCUCGGAGACACCCUCCUCUUCAACCCAACACGCGCUCUCAGCUGGCCGGUGUGGCACAACCCUCCCCCCACCUCCCCUUCUUGGCCUUCGCCAGUGUGGGAGCCUCGUCUCACUGGAGAGUCCGUUCAGGAAUCCUUGUGGGGGCGGGGAGGGGAAGAGCACCGGUGCGAACCCCGGGGUGCCCCCUCGCCCGACUUGGACUUCUCCGACUAAAGAGGUGGGAGGAGUUCCCUGCAGCCUGCGGGGCCAAGAAGAAAGUGCUAAGCUGAGGAGCCGCAGUCGGAGGACCCCAGGGACCCGACAGGAAGUCUCCGUACGACCCCAACGGAUCCACAUGCCCGGAAGCCCAGGCGACACUAAGCCAGCGCUGGGGAACUGACGUACUCCUGCAGUCGCAGGGCGCUCCAUGCCUCUCUGUCCUCUUCUUUGUUGUGGGUAACGUUCUCUGCGGGAGACCUGAGGUUUUCCAAGGGGGACAUGCCAGCUACACUGGCCUUGGCGCCCUGAGCUAAGCACCAGGACUCACAGCCUAGCACGAAGGCAGGUAGCACCUUCACCCGCCGCGGACGAUAGGCGCUCUCCUGUACCUCCUUUAGCUCGCGAGGCCCGCCCUUCGCGAGGUCCCAGAGAAAAGCAGGCUGUGGAAAACUGGGCGCCCCCUUCUUUCACCCACCUUCUUACCCCUGUCAGCGCCGAGAUCUGUAGCAGAGGUUCCUGGUCUGAACCACCGAUUGGCAAAGAAAGCUGCAGAUUAAACUUCUCGUUUUACAGAGAAGGAAACUGAGGCCCAGACAGCCGAAGGAGAGGCAGUCUAUGGAGCGCAGCGGUAAAGAGCAAGGGGUUGGUGGCCCCAGAAUGGAACCUCAGCUCUGCCAG
rnacentral:lncRNA from 1 species